rnacentral:tmRNA from 1 species
GGGGGUGUUCCGGUUUCGCCUGUAUAUGGAUUGCUUCAGUAGCAGGUCGAGGACUCCUUUCACUCGUAAAACACUGGAAAUUAAAAUUAUCUGCAAACGAUAACAAUUACGCUUUAGCAGCUGCGUAAGCAUGCUAAACGCUCGGCUGUGCUUUUGUCUGCAGGGCCGGUUGGGUGUCAUAAAUGGCAGACUACCAAUUAUCUGAUGACUGUAGGAUAUUUGGGAAUUUAACAGUCUAGUAAUACUGGACCCUGUCUGUUGGGGACGGUAUUAUUAAAUAAAAAAACAGACUACAUCCGUAGAAGCUGGGGUAUGAAAUAUGCAGUACGCGGGUUCGAAUCCCGCCACCUCCACCA